GGCUCAAGAUGAACGCUGGCGGUCUGCUUAACACAUGCAAGUCGAACGGAGUACUUCGGUACUUAGUGGCGGACGGGUGAGUAACGCGUAAGGAUCUGCCCUUUGGACGGGGAUAACGACUGGAAACGGUCGCUAAGACCCGAUGUGCCGAGAGGUGAAAGUAAUUUAGCCAAAGGAUGAACUUGCGUCCGAUUAGCUAGUUGGUGGAGUAAUGGUUCACCAAGGCGACGAUCGGUAGCUGGUCUGAGAGGAUGAUCAGCCACACUGGGACUGAGACACGGCCCAGACUCCUACGGGAGGCAGCAGUGGGGAAUUUUCCGCAAUGGGCGAAAGCCUGACGGAGCAAGACCGCGUGGGGGAAGAAGGUUUGUGGAUUGUAAACCCCUUUUGAUUGGGAAGAUGAUGACGGUACCAAUCGAAUCAGCCUCGGCUAACUCCGUGCCAGCAGCCGCGGUAAUACGGAGGAGGCAAGCGUUAUCCGGAAUUAUUGGGCGUAAAGCGUCCGUAGGUGGAUGAGCGUGUCAGUUGUUAAAGGAUGCGGCUUAACCGCAUAAAGGCGAUUGAAACUGUUUAUCUAGAGUGCGAUAGGGGCAAGGGGAAUUCCCAGUGUAGCGGUGAAAUGCGUAGAUAUUGGGAAGAACACCGGUGGCGAAAGCGCCUUGCUGGGUCUGCACUGACACUGAGGGACGAAAGCUAGGGGAGCGAAAGGGAUUAGAUACCCCUGUAGUCCUAGCUGUAAACGAUGGGUACUAGGCGUUGUCCGUAUCGACCCGGGCAGUGCCGUAGCUAACGCGUUAAGUACCCCGCCUGGGGAGUACGCUCGCAAGAGUGAAACUUAAA
rnacentral:rRNA from 1 species